GAUGAACGCGGGCGGCGUGCCUAAUACAUGCAAGUCGAGCGAACGGACGAGAAGCUUGCUUCUCUGAUGUUAGCGGCGGACGGGUGAGUAACACGUGGAUAACCUACCUAUAAGACUGGGAUAACUUCGGGAAACCGGAGCUAAUACCGGAUGAUAUUUUGAACCGCAUGGUUCAAAAGUGAAAGACGGUCUUGCUGUCACUUAUAGAUGGAUCCGCGCUGCAUUAGCUAGUUGGUAAGGUAACGGCUUACCAAGGCAACGAUGCAUAGCCGACCUGAGAGGGUGAUCGGCCACACUGGAACUGAGACACGGUCCAGACUCCUACGGGAGGCAGCAGUAGGGAAUCUUCCGCAAUGGGCGAAAGCCUGACGGAGCAACGCCGCGUGAGUGAUGAAGGUCUUCGGAUCGUANAACUCUGUUAUUAGGGAAGAACAUAUGUGUAAGUAACUGUGCACAUCUUGACGGUACCUAAUCAGAAAGCCACGGCUAACUACGUGCCAGCAGCCGCGGUAAUACGUAGGUGGCAAGCGUUAUCCGGAAUUAUUGGGCGUAAAGCGCGCGUAGGCGGUUUUUUAAGUCUGAUGUGAAAGCCCACGGCUCAACCGUGGAGGGUCAUUGGAAACUGGAAAACUUGAGUGCAGAAGAGGAAAGUGGAAUUCCAUGUGUAGCGGUGAAAUGCGCAGAGAUAUGGAGGAACACCAGUGGCGAAGGCGACUUUCUGGUCUGUAACUGACGCUGAUGUGCGAAAGCGUGGGGAUCAAACAGGAUUAGAUACCCUGGUAGUCCACGCCGUAAACGAUGAGUGCUAAGUGUUAGGGGGUUUCCGCCCCUUAGUGCUGCAGCUAACGCAUUAAGCACUCCGCCUGGGGAGUACGACCGCAAGGUUGAAACUCAAAGGAAUUGACGGGGACCCGCACAAGCGGUGGAGCAUGUGGUUUAAUUCGAAGCAACGCGAAGAACCUUACCAAAUCUUGACAUCCUUUGACAACUCUAGAGAUAGAGCCUUCCCCUUCGGGGGACAAAGUGACAGGUGGUGCAUGGUUGUCGUCAGCUCGUGUCGUGAGAUGUUGGGUUAAGUCCCGCAACGAGCGCAACCCUUAAGCUUAGUUGCCAUCAUUAAGUUGGGCACUCUAAGUUGACUGCCGGUGACAAACCGGAGGAAGGUGGGGAUGACGUCAAAUCAUCAUGCCCCUUAUGAUUUGGGCUACACACGUGCUACAAUGGACAAUACAAAGGGCAGCGAAACCGCGAGGUCAAGCAAAUCCCAUAAAGUUGUUCUCAGUUCGGAUUGUAGUCUGCAACUCGACUACAUGAAGCUGGAAUCGCUAGUAAUCGUAGAUCAGCAUGCUACGGUGAAUACGUUCCCGGGUCU
rnacentral:rRNA from 1 species